GUGACGGUUAAUGUUUACCAUGUUUACAGAACAAAGACGACAAAGACGUCCCGAUAAUGAAUUUAAUCAGACUGGACGAUUUUAAUUAAUUAUACUACAGUCUUUGGAAAUAAUUCGUUUUUAAGAAUCAUAGUUGAAAAAGCUUAAGAAGAUGCGGGAGGAAAUGGUUGAACUAUUUUCAGGAGGAGUCGCGGAUAGGAAGAAACGGAGAAUAAGGGUUAGGUGGACGCUCCAGGAGGGAUGGAAUUGGUUUGCCAGCCACGAGAUGUAUGCGUGGGGUGAAGUCAGUGCCACGUGCCCGCGGGCUCUCAGGGCACCCGAGAAAACCCCAUUUCUGUGCCGCAAGCUCGUGUUGUAGCUUCGAGCUUCGAUCGUGGCCAUUGCGAGUUACCUUUACCGCGUUUACUAUUCUCUAUUGUAUACCACUGCGAUACGAGAACAUAGG